rnacentral:lncRNA from 1 species
GCCAUGAUGUCUAAGGCCAAGUCACUAAGGCUGUUAGUGACAAAGAAGAGGAAAUUUAACUACUAUAAUAAAAGUUCAGUCAUCUGAAUUUUGUUUCUGUGAAAUUUUUACACCCCAAAGUUGCUUCUAGCAUUGAAGCCUCUAAAUUUCAUUGUCAAGUUUGUGAGCUAUCCAGGCGUCAUCGUACAACUUUUCCAAUCAAAAUCAAAAAAAUCUAAUUUCCUUUUACAGUAACUCACAUUGAUACAUAGGGUCUUCCCAUGUCAUUUCUUACCCUGAUUUUAGGUGGUUUAAAAGUUUUAUCAUGCUUGUACUUGUAUUACCUAAAUCUAGCUUCUAAAAAACAAAUAUCAAGUUACCUCUAUAUUCAAAUCCUUCAAUUCCAUGAUACAAAGUCAAUUCAACAGAAAGGUUUAAGUUUUUUGGUCUGACCGUGGAACUGAACUUCCAGCAAAGUAACGGGCAAUGUUAUCUCCCGAAAAUGGUAUUGUUCACCAUUCUUCAUGUAUUGGCACAUCCCAAAUAAAUUCAAUGGCUGAGAGGGAAAAUGACAAUUGUUAGAGGUAGUUGGAGCUCCAAUGUUCAAUCAAAAUGUCCCUAAAUAAUAUUUUUAAGUGAUGAACUCCUAUGUGAUGCAUAUUUAUUCAAUCAAGUGCAUCCUCUAAAUUUCAGAAAAUCAAUUCAGCUUCUACAAAACUUGUCCCUAAUCUUGAUCUUUUUGGUUGACUUGCCCUUAAAAAAUUAGGCCUGUUACAGUAUCCAUCCUUCUCGAAGAGUUCAGAAUAGAUCUGGGGGCUCUUAGAUGUACUUUUCUGUACUCCUACAGAAAAGGUCUCUAUAGCUGUAGAUGUUAUGUGGGCAUUUGCAAAAAUGUCCAAUUUUACAUGUGUCAAUUCAAAAACAUCCACUUUGGUAAUCUUUGCAAAAAUGGCCAAAUUUGAUACCAAAUUCUCUAUUUUACCCUAAAAGAAUAAAUAAUUUCAUAUUGCACAUGUCAAAUCACAAUUAAUGUUAGACACAAAAAUGUCGAGAACAAUAUUUAAAGUGUAAAGAAAUGUCAUGUUCAGAAUGAAAUGUCAUUUUAGACAUUUAAUAUGUCGAGAACAACGUUUGAAAUGUCGAGAACAUUUAAUAUUGUGAUUUGACAUGUGUACUUUUGAAAUAUAAACGGAUUCAAAUAUUGAUAACGAUAUUUGAGAUGUCGAGAACAUCAUUUAAUGUAACUUCUCAUGGAAACUACUUAGGGAUACUCUCGCCCAAAUAAUUGCAGAAAUGGACAUUGAAAAUUUUGGGACAUUUUUGCAAAUGACUGUCAAAAUGGACAUUUUUUGUAAUUUCCUCUUUUGAAAAUAAUCAUAUUAACCUAGGAUUGAUCUGAACUAUCUAGCGACUGCCCCUAAACCUAUGACGAUUUUGAUUCUAUACCUAAACCUGAACCAUUGGCUCGUGCACAACUUGUUGCCAUAUCCCAUUUUGCACCAGAAGUGCCUGAACAAGCAUGUAUUUUGUACUCCUACUGGCUACUCGUGUCCCCUUUUUAGACCAGCCUAGAAACCAAAUAAGCACUAAACCAGGUAUGAGGAGGCACUUAAGAACAUAUUGUCCAGGAGACAAGUUAAUAGCCAGUUGGUGCACUCGAGACAAAAUGUGAUAAUAAACCACAUAUCUUCUCCCCAGUAACUCUGACCGAGAAACAAGUAUUUUUAGUGAUCCUCCUAAUUUCUUGUUCGAUACCAAUCUUGACAAACCCAUUGCAAGUAGGAAAGUUGUUGGAAACUGGAGCAGAUACCCGCUUUCAAAUCUCAAGUUCCAUCAUCAUCUAAUCCCCACUGGAAAGAAUUUACCUUUGCUGGCCCUAUACUAUCAGUCUGUUCUGAGUAAUGAACAAGAGGCUUUAAAAGAUUCAAGGUAGGACGCCAUGUUUGAAGAGAUGAGGAGCACUUUACAAGAAUGAAAACUGGAAGAUUGUUACAAAGAGAGAAAAACUAGUGAGUGGGUGUUCACCAUUAAAUACUGGGAAGAUAGAAUGAUAGAAAGAUACAAGGGGAAGUUAGUCAGUUACACUAAAACCUAUGCUUUGACUGACAAGAAACUUUUGCUCCCACGGCUAAAGUAAUUGCAUUACCGUACUACUAUCCCAAGAUGUAAACCUGGACCAGCCUUUAUAUCAGUUGGAUACAGAGAAAGCUUUCUUAUAUGGCUCGAGAAAGAAUUCUGUUUGGAUCUUCCACCUGGCCGUGAUGAUCACUCAGAUAAUAAGAAAGUUCAUGCCCUAAAAAAGAAAGUGACUUAGAUCUACAAUUUAUGAUAUUUCGUGUUUAAGAUUUUAAAAAGGAAAAAAUUGACAGCUAAUUUCAUUGAACUUUUAAUAGAUAUUGUAAACAUUUAGAAUAUUCUAAUUUGUUAGAAUAGCUCCCAUAGAAAGUUUACAAUGGAACCGGGUGAUUGUUUACAAAAAAUAAAAGCCUUACCAAGCAUUGUACAAGGAUGUGUUGCAGGAGUAAUCCAUUAUGAUUCUCUUUUCAUCUAAUCUUUCUAGGCCACAGGGUCUCCAUUUCACCCGUGGACAACCUUUU